UGUGACUUUGGUUCCCUGUGAGCAAGAUGAUCUGCAAGUGGCGACAUGAACUGAUUACCAAUCACUGACUUCAGGAGGAAGCAAGACAAGGGAAUGAGAAGCAGCAAGUUAAAUGCAGAACAGAAAUGAAGCUGUUAGACCAAAUUUUCAGCUUCUCACAUGGUACAAUUAUUGUUUUUAAUUUCUAUGUAAGCAAGUUCUUAAGUCACAUUGAGAAGAUUUUUAAAAAUCCAUUAACAAUAAUUUACAUCCAACAAUCCUGAAGUUAUAUGUUUAUUAUAAAAUUAUUAUACAUAUUUUACAUGAUACACGUAUCACACACUGAAUUGUGUCCAAUUCAUAUGUUGAAGUCCCAAUCCCCACUGUGGCUUAAAGGAUAGGGCCUUAAAGGAGGUAAUGAAGGUUAAAUUAUGUCAUAAUGGUGGGACCUUAAUCCAAUAGAAUUGGUGUCCUUAUAAGAGGAAGAGAUACCAAUGAUCUCUCAGUUCAUGCACAGAGAGAAAAGGCACAUGAGGACACAGUGAGAAGGCCCCUUCUAUGACUCAAGGAGAAAGGCCUCACCAGAAAGCGACCCUGUUGGCACCUUGAUCUUGGACUUCCAGCCUCCAGAACUUCAAAAAACACAUUUCUGUUGUUUAAGCCACCCAGUUUGUGGUAUUUUGUUAUGGCAGCCCUAGCAAACUAAUACAGUAUGCCAUUGUGAUUUUUAAGUCUUCUUCUUACAUGUUGCCACCAUGACAAAUGUAGUCAUCACCAAAAUCUCACAACUUAGACCAUCGAGAGAUAUCUCUGGCCAUGAAAUUCAACAGUUAUUGGAACUAUCUAAAUUUAAGAUAUAUCUGUUAAAUUAGGCUUUAAUGGUGUAUUCUGUAAAUUAUCUUGCACAAAAUCAAUCUUUACGAAUUGUCACCAUCAAGUGCUAUUACCUCCUAUUUCUUCAAUUCAUAGGUAGUCUCCCUACCCCCACACCAACCUCUUCACUAUCUUAAAUAAGUGGCAAGAAUCCAGGAUCAAAGUAAGGCUACCCUAGUGGAGAACAACAAUGGUAAUGAUGGUGGUGACGGUGGCAUCAAGAGCAGGGAACAUUUAUCAAGCAUGUACGAGGUGACAAGGAGGAGCUAAGAGAUUUAUAUUAUGAAAACAAUCAUUAUUAUUAGCCCUACUCUUAUGAGACUUAGCCAGGUUGAGCAACUUGUCCAUGUUCACAGAGCCAGGAUUUAAACUCAGAUACCAGGACUCCAAUGCAAACCUCUUAUGCUACAAUAUUCAAAACUGAGUCAGUCAAACUCAAAUUGCAUUACUGAACCACAGCUUUUAAAAACAAACAUAAAAAUCCCUAAUAGUGAAUCUGAAGCCUGUGCCUAAUUUCUAACUUCAAAUAACUCAAAAUCUGAUCUCACUAAGAUAGACCCUGAAUAGAACUUGUAUAUGAUAAAUAAAACCUAGUCUAUGUGGGGUAAAUGGAAGAGUAAGAGAAAAGCAGGUAUGAGCUUCAAGAGAAAUUCGGCAUUCCAAAAUAGUGACAGCAGGUAACUUUCACAAAAUAAACAGAACACCCCAAAACCACUGUUUCACAUCCGUAGGCCUAAGCAAUUGUCUUGGUCAAAGUAAUACAAAGUUAAGUUAUGGUUUUCAAGUAACACUUCCUAAGAGGCUUAACAAAUACCUAAAACUGUCAAGGUAACAGCCCUUUCUUUUUAUAAUACAAUUCAAUAUCCCCUGUAUAUGCUCCACCAUCCCCAAAUAGGGUAACUCAGGAUAAAACUCUCUUAGAGAUCUCCAUUCACAAAAGAAAUAUGCAGAACUACAUCAGAGGGAUAGAAAGGCACCUCCAAUUUUCUAUAAUUCUGAGGGAUUUGAGUAAGGACGUAAGCAACUCACACUCCCCCACAAUUAAAAGAACAGUCUCAACCACAAGCAGGCUCCUUCUUCCUAAAAUGAACUAACCACCUGCUCAUCCCUUCUUCAUAGGUUUAAUUUUUAAAAUCGUAUAAAAAUUAUUAAAUUAUAGAAAUGAGACAUAAGGCAAAGGGAUGUAAAGAACAAGUUACUUAUUUUCCCCAGCUCAUUGCCUCCCUCUCCCCUCCAUGAAGUAACUGAAGCAAACCAGUUAGGAUGCCUAUUCACACCUUCCUUCAAACCCAGGACAACUAAUUCCUUGCUGGUAAGGUUUGGCCACUUGUACAAAGUGAGAGCAUGUUGUAAGCAACUCUCCGCAACCUGCUUUGCUCUCUUAAUAAUAUUCCUUGGACGCUGCCCAGAUCAUGAGGAAUGCACUGGAUUCUGGGCGCCAUAUGCAGAAUACUUGAUCAUGAGGGUGCUCUCUCUCCCUAGCUCAGCCUCUCCUCUGCAGCUGCUCAUUCAGGCUGCUUCUGUGUUUUUGCUGCUACAAAUAAUGUUGCAACACGCAGACUAUAUUUUUGCCGUUUUGAACAAAAGAUUUUCUUUCUAGGGCACAGAUUACCAAAAGUGGGACUGCUGGCACAAAGCAUAUGUGUGUAUUCAUCGUGACUGUUACUACCAGAUUCUUUUCCAAGAAAGUUCUAGGCACUAACUUUUUUUUUAAGACUGCAUGAAGUAUAUCUUUUUCUAAUAAUACAGUAUUUCAUGGACUAUAUGAAUUUGGAAAGUCUUCUAAAGAACAAGAACUCAAUACUCGUUCUCCUAUGGAGCUUCUAUAAAUCCUUUUCUACUAUCAAAAGGAGAAAAGAAACAGUGUUUCCCCACAAAAAUUUAUCUUUUUCUUGUUAAAUUGACUUACGUUUCUUUUCCCCUUCUCAUCCACUUUUUUUCUCUUCCCCCUCAUUCCACUACACGAUAGGCACCUCUAUCUGUGAAUACGAUUUUCUCACUUGUUAGAGCCUCUGUCACAUAAUACACUUGCCACAGAAUACUGCCACAGAGAAGAGCAAAGGAAGACAGCUGGCUAGCCAAAUGUCCCCACAAUGGGGAGGGUUACCACAGUGGAAGUGAAGCUCCUCAACAAGCCUUCAGCUCUGUGAUGAAAUUCCCUGGUCCUCCACACCUAUCCAUCCCUGACAGAGUAUGAUCAGUUUGCUUCUAUUUCUAGUAGAAUAUAUUUCACAGCAUAAUAGUUCAAAGAAACCUUACAACCCUAUCCCCAAAUGUAUACUGUCAUUCAAAAACGCCAUCUCAAUCUUUCUUGAGGACAUACAUUUUUAUGUGUUUUUAUGUAUAUUCUCUAGUCACCGUUCUUCAACCAGAAGAACAUGUCUGGAAACAGAGUUUGCCCCCAAAAUAAAAAAUAACAAUAUAUAUAAUAGAGGUGAAGAAUUACUAUAGUAAAAUUUGUGAGGAUCUGAGUGGGGCUUGAAAUGUGCCUUUUUGGUAAGACACAUUUUUUGUAAGCUGACUAAGUAAAUUAAUAGUGGAAACAAGCAUGGCAGAUGAACAGACUAACUAUUAAUCCUUCUAAGCGAAUGUAUGAUUCUAAAGAGCAACUACUGGAUGCAAGCAAAUAAUAGAUGUCCUACACCAAAACUGAGCCAGAGUUUUUAUAUUUAAAAAAUGGACACACACCACUUGAUGACUUUUCUUGGCAUCCAAGUUACUGCCUAUGGUUGAAAGCUGUAUAGCCACUUAAAAAAUACCUUUUUAUAAUUCAGAAUGAUCACCAAUUUGAUAGAUCCUCUCCCCUUUGUUAGUGUUUUCCACCUCAAUGGCCAUCCCCAAUACAGGUCCUCCAUUCUGUUAAUUCCUCCUGUCUGAAUGGAGCCUGAUUUCCUCAGUUCCACGUACUCCUCCCCAGGCUCAUCCUGCACAGCACUGCCAGCCUCAUCUUCCCGCAGCUGCACACAUGGGAUGUGACUGCUCUGCUCACAAGUCCUUCCUUCAUCUGCUGCCACACACACACACACACACACACACACACACACAAAUUCCAGGAGGAAAUCUCAGUUCUUAGCCUGGGACCAUAGUUCCAGGUACCAAAUCCCACAAGGUAGCUUUCCAAGCUCAUUUUCUACCACUGACUGGCAUCCUGCACAUCCUUCUAUGCCAGCUCACACACCACCUCCUCCACCAGGGCUGGGAUUACUCAAUUCACAGGAAGCAGAAUCUUCUUUCUUCUCAUUGCUCAUGUUUGUCCCACGUGACUGGCACUUUAUCACACACUAUUCUGUGCCUUAGAAAGAACAUUGCUUUCUGAGAAGCACUCUGAAGGUAAGAAAAUUGUGGCCUUCAUAGAGGGGCCUACUGUUGCUUCUCAAAGAGAACUGAUGCUUAACAACUAUUUAUUGAUUCAACCAGUGACUGUACUAUGCUUCAGGAAAGGCCCUGGAGGUCAAUGACCAAGACCAAUUCAUAUGACUGCCCAAAGAAGAGAAGCUUGGAUUUCCACUAAACAAUAAGCUAUAACUCAUAUGAUAAGGAAUGGUUCAGGAAUUAGUAUAAGGAUUAACUAAAACAUGAUUUUGCUGAAAUGUAUUUACCUUUUAAUUGGUUGAACAUCAAUGGAAAAUUAGAAAAUGCAAAAUAUAAAUUUCUCAAAGUGUUACCUAAUCGAUUCUUAUACAGCCAAUAGUCAAAGCUUUUAAGGAAAUGACACCUUUCCAUAUAAAUGAAAAGACUUCUAAUUAUUAUAUGUAACAUUUUAAGGGGUUGUCAACUGUAUGUCUCUUGCCCUAAUUUUAAAUAUGUCCUAAAAGGAGACUCCACAACUACAUGCAAGGUAAAGAAUCAGUGGGUAAAUAAAGAAAAAAAAAGCUUCCGUUUUCCUGAAGUACCAUUGACACUGCCGUGCUAAGAAUAUGUCUAUCAAGAAUGGCAUAGAAAGAACUAACUGGCUUCUAGAUUAAAACACAUCAAUUAUUUCAUGACCGAAUAUCAAAUAGAAAAACUGCCUGAAUGCUCUAAAAUUCUAUCACAUCAUACCACAUUUGGCCUACAUCGAAUGGCAUAUACGUCAUUUAUCAUUAAAGCCUUUUUAUAUAGGUCAAGGUUGCUGGGGCUUGGUGUUUUGUAUCUUACAGUUUAAAGAAUGCUCUAAGUUCUAGGGUUUUUUUUUUAAUUUUUUAAUCUAUGAGGAAGGAAAACGAAAACUUCCUAUAAACUCAGAUUAAUGCCUGCUAAUGCACGGAAGAAAGAAAAACUAAAACCUUCCUCCUACUAUAAAAACAAAAUAGUGUGGCCUCUGUUUCUUUUCUGAUAAGAGUCUUAAAUACCCAACAGUUAACUGCAUAAUAACAUUUACUGGCAGCCAGGCAGCCUGCUUAGCAGAUAUAUAAAGCAGGUAAAAGGAGAAAAAGUUAAUUUCUUGGCUGAAUGAUUCCAUCGGUAGCUAUAGGGCAAACCUGAAAGUCUUUUAGUAAAGUAGCAGUUGAUUCUUCUAUCAAUCUGUAGCACACACACUCUUCCAAGGAAAGCAUUAAAUAUGAAAAUCAUAUCCCGUUAUCAUCUGUUUCCAGCUUUCAGCCCAGUAAGCUUUUCUUAAUGAAUGCUGCAGCCUAAGGAACAAGCACGCUGUUGGCUUUUCUGAAUAAUGGAGUGAUGCUACCAUUUUUGCUUAUUACAAUAUCGACUGGCUGAGGGGGUUUCACACAUAGUCACAAGUGACUACUCUUGCCAGCAUGCUCCAAGUUAUUACAAGAUGUUUUUAGACAUUUCAUCUAAAAGAGCUUUACUGCUUUUAGUGAAGAAAACAUCUACGGUCUUGAACAGAAUCAUUUAUAUGGAGAUAGGCAGGAGGAUUAGAAGCCUGCAUUAUAGCAGAUACAUAGCAGAAUUUAUUUAAGUAUUCCUUGUCGAUCUUUUUGUCUAUUGCUUAGAUAUGCAAUCUUUUCUUUCCACGUUUUCUGUGCAAAGGUUAAAAUGUACAAAAUUAUGUAUAUUCGCACAAAUAAAAGAAUCAAAAUGCCAUAUUUUGUUUACUUUUCAUUUAAAACACUUCUCAAACUAAGAAAAGAGCAGCUACAAGGCAUGAUUUAGAAAAACAAUUUUACCUACUGACAACACUGAGGUUUUCUUUAGAGUCUAUCCUUUCUUCACAAAGUAACACCCUUUCAGCAAACUUAAUUAAAUUAGACAUUAAAGCAAUAUUCUGUAAGCAAAAAUCUUUAAAUAAUCACGUAAGGUUUAAUCAAAGGGAUCUUCCUAAUAAGAUGAUUUUAUUUAAAACAAUAUCUCAAGAUAUAAACACUCCAGAAUUCCUCUGUUAACAGAAAGGUUACCAAUUUAGU
rnacentral:lncRNA from 1 species